GUGCAGUACUGCUAACCUGGGAGAGGCCAGUGGGAAGGUGGGUGGCUGCUGGCUGGCAGCCCUCUCUCAGUGGUUAGGGAGCAGCUUGGGCCUCUGCACUGUGUUGGAAACUCCUUGCAUGCUGAAUUGCAGGCCCUGAGUGACUGACUGAGACCUCAGGGAGAUAUAGGGUCAGCAUUAUUUGUGAGAGCAAUUGAUCGUUUGCAGGGCCUGGUUAGCCAUUUCUGUAGACAAAUGAGAGCAUUUUCUUGCAGCUGAGCUGGAUGCUUAAGGGGAGUUGAGUAGAAACAAUCCCAAUACAAGUCUACUCAUUCACACCCACACACACCCACACACACCCAUACACACUCACACACACCCAUACACACACACACUCACACACACCCAUACACACACACACACCCAUACACACCCACACACACCCAUACACACUCACACACACCCACACACACCCAUACACACCCACACACACCCAUACACACUCACACACACCCAUACACACACACACCCAUACACACACACACUCACACACACCCAUACACACACACACACACCCAUACACACACACACACACACCCAUACACACCCACACACACCCAUACAUACUCACACACACCCAUACACACACACACACACCCAUACACACACACUACACACACUCACAUCUCCACACACUACACAUACACUCACAGCUUCACACACUACACACACCCACACACUCACACCCACAAACUCAGACUCCACAAACCCACAUGCACUCACACCUCCACACACUACACACACAUACUCACACCUCCACACACUACACACACACACUCACACCUCCACACACUACACAUACACUCACAGCUUCACACACUACACAUCUACCCACUCACACACACACACACACAUUCAGACCCCACACACCCACACACACUCAUAUACUCACAUCUCCACACACUACACACACCCACACACUCACAUACACACUACACACACACUCAUACCUUCAUACACUAUACACACCCACACACCCACACACACCACACACACACCCCUCACAAACACCACACACAGUCAUACACCACACACUCACACAUACCACAUCCCUACACUUCCAUACCCACACACCCCACACACACACCCCACAACACACCACACACACACCACAUCCCAUACAUACCCUACACACUCACACACAUACCACAUGCAUACAGCACAUAUACACUCACGUAUACACACACUCUCAUACACACACACCACACACACCACACAUCCCAUACACACACACACACUCACUCAGAUGGUGAAAGCAAGCAGUGUUCAUGGUCAUCUCUCC
rnacentral:lncRNA from 1 species